rnacentral:rRNA from 1 species
UACGGAGGGGGUAAGCGUUGUUCGGAAUCACUGGGUGUAAAGGGUGCGUAGGCGGUCCGUUAAGUCUGAUGUGAAAGCCCUGGGCUCAACUCAGGAAUUGCAUUGGAAACUGGCGGGCUGGAGUACGGGAGAGGGAAGCGGAAUUCCUGGUGUAGCGGUGAAAUGCGUAGAUACCAGGAGGAACACCGGUGGCGAAGGCGGUUUCCUGGCCCAGUACUGACGCUGAGGCACGAAAGCGUGGGGAGCGAACGGG